rnacentral:rRNA from 1 species
GCUCAGGAUGAACGCUAGCUACAGGCUUAACACAUGCAAGUCGAGGGGAAACGACAUCGAAAGCUUGCUUUUGAUGGGCGUCGACCGGCGCACGGGUGAGUAACGCGUAUCCAACCUGCCCACCACUUGGGGAUAACCUUGCGAAAGUAAGACUAAUACCCAAUGACGUCUCUAGAAGACAUCUGAAAGAGAUUAAAGAUUUAUCGGUGAUGGAUGGGGAUGCGUCUGAUUAGCUUGUUGGCGGGGUAACGGCCCACCAAGGCAACGAUCAGUAGGGGUUCUGAGAGGAAGGUCCCCCACAUUGGAACUGAGACACGGUCCAAACUCCUACGGGAGGCAGCAGUGAGGAAUAUUGGUCAAUGGACGAGAGUCUGAACCAGCCAAGUAGCGUGCAGGAAGACGGCCCUAUGGGUUGUAAACUGCUUUUAUAAGGGAAUAAAGUGAGUCUCGUGAGACUUUUUGCAUGUACCUUAUGAAUAAGGACCGGCUAAUUCCGUGCCAGCAGCCGCGGUAAUACGGAAGGUCCGGGCGUUAUCCGGAUUUAUUGGGUUUAAAGGGAGCGUAGGCCGGAGAUUAAGCGUGUUGUGAAAUGUAGAUGCUCAACAUCUGAACUGCAGCGCGAACUGGUUUCCUCGAGUACGCACAAAGUGGGCGGAAUUCGUGGUGUAGCGGUGAAAUGCUUAGAUAUCACGAAGAACUCCGAUUGCGAAGGCAGCUCACUGGAGCGCAACUGACGCUGAAGCUCGAAAGUGCGGGUAUCGAACAGGAUUAGAUACCCUGGUAGUCCGCACGGUAAACGAAGGGAGCCCGCGCUGGUUUGGAUAAGUCAGCGGCCAAGCGAAAGCAAAAAGCAUCCCCCCUGGGGGGACGCCGGCAACGGUGAGACUCAAAGGAAUGACGGGGACCCGCCCACGCGGUGGAGCAUGUGGUUUAAUUCGAAGCAACGCGAAGAACCUUACCAAGUCUUGACAUCCCCCUGACCGGUCUGUAAUGGGGCCUCUCCUUCGGGACAGGGGAGACAGGUGGUGCAUGGUUGUCGUCAGCUCGUGUCGUGAGAUGUUGGGUUAAGUCCCGCAACGAGCGCAACCCCUAUCCUUAGUAGCCAGCAGUAAGAUGGGCACUCUAGGGAGACUGCCAGGGAUAACCUGGAGGAAGGCGGGGAGGACGUCAAAUCAUCAUGCCCCCUAUGAUUUGGGCUACACACGUGCUACAAUGGCGUAAACAAAGGGAAGCGACCCUGUGAAGGUGAGCAAAUCUCAAAAAUAACGUCCCAGUUCGGACUGCAGUCUGCAACUCGACUGCACGAAGCUGGAAUCGCUAGUAAUCGCGGAUCAGAAUGCCGCGGUGAAUAAAAGGCCCGGUCUUGUACU